rnacentral:rRNA from 1 species
UACGUAGGGUGCAAGCGUUAAUCGGAAUUACUGGGCGUAAAGCGUGCGCAGGCGGUUUUGUAAGUUUGUCGUGAAAGCCCCGGGCUCAACCUGGGAAUUGCGAUGAAGACUGCAAGGCUUGAAUCUGGCAGAGGGGGGUAGAAUUCCACGUGUAGCAGUGAAAUGCGUAGAGAUGUGGAGGAACACCGAUGGCGAAGGCAGCCCCCUGGGUCAAGAUUAACGCUCAUGCACGAAAGCGUGGGGAGCAAACAGG